rnacentral:rRNA from 1 species
AAUAUAUCGGAACGUACCCAAGAGUGGGGGAUAACGUAGCGAAAGUUGCGCUAAUACCGCAUACGAUCCAAGGAUGAAAGCAGGGGACCGCAAGGCCUUGUGCUCCUGGAGCGGCCGAUAUCUGAUUAGCUAGUUGGUGAGGUAAAGGCUCACCAAGGCGACGAUCAGUAGCUGGUCUGAGAGGACGACCAGCCACACUGGAACUGAGACACGGUCCAGACUCCUACGGGAGGCAGCAGUGGGGAAUUUUGGACAAUGGGCGCAAGCCUGAUCCAGCAAUGCCGCGUGAGUGAAGAAGGCCUUCGGGUUGUAAAGCUCUUUUGUCAGGGAAGAAACGGUGCGGGCUAAUAUCCCGCGCUAAUGACGGUACCUGAAGAAUAAGCACCGGCUAACUACGUGCCAGCAGCCGCGGUAAUACGUAGGGUGCAAGCGUUAAUCGGAAUUACUGGGCGUAAAGCGUGCGCAGGCGGUUUUGUAAGUCUGUCGUGAAAUCCCCGGGCUCAACCUGGGAAUUGCGAUGGAGACUGCAAGGCUAGAAUCUGGCAGAGGGGGGUAGAAUUCCACGUGUAGCAGUGAAAUGCGUAGAGAUGUGGAGG